AAAAUUUCCUAUAAAGACCCCCCUCCAUACCACCUUCGGAUCCCUUCCCACACACCCCAAAAAUUUCAGCAAAUUUAAAGAGAGUUAGAGAGCUUGGUGUUCUAGGAGCAUAUUUCAAGGCAGUAACUACUUCAACAGGGGCAUCUUCGCACGUCGUUUAAGGCCAAAUCAAGGAACUUUUCAACUAAGGAAAUAGCUUUUGAGGUUGAACGUGAACGAGGAGGCGAAGGUGUUGAGAAAUGAUAUUAAUAAGUAGCAAUAGGUAGCCCAAAGAAGUGUCUUCACACAUACUUCUUUGUCUUGGUCUCUUCCGCUGCAUUAGGGAUUUUGUACCAGGAGCUUAUAAACCUAGAUAACUUACUCUGAUUUUUGUUUUGCCAUGUAUCACUUUCGCUUUCUGAAACAAAUGUUUGAACUUGAUUUUCAUCUAUGCUUAUCUCUUUGA